rnacentral:rRNA from 1 species
CCCUUAGAUGUCCUGGGCCGCACGCGCGCUACACUGAUGUAUUCAACGAGUAUUUCCUUGGCCGAGAGGCCUGGGCAAUCUUUUAAACCUGCAUCGUGAUAGGGAUAGAUUAUUGCAAUUAUUAAUCUUGAACGAGGAAUUCCUAGUAAACGCAAAUCAUCAAUUUGCAUUGAUUACGUCCCUGCCCUUUGUACACACCGCCCGUCGCACCUACCGAUUGAAUGGUCCGGUGAAAUCUCGGGAUUGUGGCCAGUUCACUUUAUUGGGAGUUGGCUGCGAGAACUUGCUUAAACCUUAUCAUUUAGAGGAAGGUGAAGUCGUAACA